CUGUGUCCUCCCGAUCCCCACCCAGGCUACCCCGGUUUAAAAGGAGCCAGAGGUGACACGGGCUUCCCAGGCCCAACUGGGAGGAAGGGACAACCAGGACAACCAGGAGGGGAUGGAUCAUCAGGACUCAGGGGCCUUCUGGGACCGCCGGGCCCCGGGGGAAGAAACGGCAUCCCUGGGGGACCAGGAAGGAAGGGCGAGAGCGGUUACCCUGGACUGGUAGGUUUCCCCGGAAUGCCAGGUAACCCUGGAAGACCUGGUGGACCAGGAGGUAAAGGAGCUCCGGGGUUCUCAGGAAAAGACGGCCUGCCCGGUGACUUCGGAGCGCCAGGACCUAAAGGUACAGGAUUGGGAAUGACAGAAUCAAUGGAAUGAUGGGAAGAGAGUGGAUAGGGUCUGACAGUUCAUCAUUCUGCUCUGACAGUUCAUCAUUCUGCUCUAACAGUUCAUCAUUCUGGUCUGACAGUUCAUCAUUCUGCUCUGACAUAAUGAAUAGUCUGACAGUUCAUCAUUCUGGNNNNNNNNNNUCCUCUUUUUAGCCCACAGAGAGAACACACAGAUACUCUCUCCUCCUUUUAGCCCACAGAGAGAACACACAGAUACUCUCUCCUCCUUCAUGCCUUUAUAGAUAUGUUCUCUCUAUUUCCUGACCUUCAGUUUGUUUGCCUGUAAACCCACUGGUUGCCUGUUUGUGAACUCCAUCAAGCAUCUCCUCACCCUCUUUCUCUCUUCACCAUCAUCUCCAUCCAUCCUAUCAUCCUUCCAUCCCUCUCUUUUUGGUGUUGGGUCUCUCCCUAGGCUGUCAAGGUGAGCUACUCCCUUCCAUUCAUCCCUCCAUCCCAGUCCACUUCUCCAUCUCAGAACAACCCCNNNNNNNNNNGAAGCAGGAACAGAGAGAGAAAUAGAGACCUAAUCAGAGGGAAAAAAGGGAACAGGUGGGAAAAGGGUGAACGAGGUAGUUAGAGAAGAUGAGGAGCAGCUGGGGGAAGGAGGGGAAGAGAAGGUAACCUAAUACGACCAGCAGAGGGAGACGGAGUGAAGAGAAA
rnacentral:lncRNA from 13 species